GGUCUGAUUUCCACACGUCAAGAGGUGCUUGUGUCCUGGGAGGAGAGCGAGCUGUUCCCUGUGUCUGUCAGAGGAGUGAAGGUGCCAAAAUGCCGGCCCAGCUGGGCAGGCAACACGCUGCCAAAGAGAGGGGAAGGAGGACUCCCGUUCUGCUUCUAGUAGUCCUUUCUGGUGAGUGUUCCCCACCCAAGGCCGUCCCAGCAGAGCUGGGGAGCAGGACUGUCCCACACAGCAUGUCCCUGCUGGGACUGGAGGAGGAAAACGGGGCUGCAGGGCUCAGAGCAGUCUAAGCAAACUAACUGUCUCUCCCGACUGAUGGCCCCCACAGCUGGAGCCUUUCUCUGGAUAUUGGCAGCUUGGAAAAAUGACAUCCUGCAGGUCAGUGCCGUGGUGUGCGGCAGAGGCCAAAGCUCUGCCCUUCUGCCUCCGCGGGGACGGGGGAGUUUGGCCAUGGGCUCAUCACUGCUGAGACAGAGGGUGGGCACUUGAGCCGGGCUGGGGGUCGCCUUGGCAGCAGGAUGGGCUUCGGUGUGGAAGCAUCUUCCCAGUGCCCACCACCGAGCUCGGGCUGAAGGUGGUGGCGCGUGGGAAGAAGGGGCCUUCAACCCAUCUGUGGCACUGCGGAGCCUGGAGGGAAUGGGAAAGCAAAUGAAGAAGCAGCAGAUGCUCUGCAGGACGCGGAGGGCUUAAGAGCCCAACUUUGGGCAGCAGUUCUCUGCAAGCUGCUGGGAAGCAGCAGGACAUUCUGCCAGCAGUUCCCUGGGAAGCUCCUUUGGAUGCCGUGCUCCUGGUGCUUCCUCCCAUCAAAUGCCUUUCUCUUCCAGCUGGUGUCAGCAGGACCUGUACAUGAGCUCCCGUGUCUGGGCUAAGAACACUUCCUUGCCAUGCAGCUGGCUCUGUGGUGUGGCCUCAGCUGGCUGUGCGCUCUUUGCACGCCUUUGCCUUGUGCCCAGGGCUCCAGCCUUUCCCGUCUUGACGGUGUAAGGCAGCCCUUGCCAAAGCAAAGGAACGAAAGGGGUGGGGGGAUAAGGAAGGGCACAACCCCCAGAAUCCUUCACCUCAUGGCACUGGAGCUCUGACCUGCGGGGUGGGCAGCGCUGAACAAGACUUGCUUUGCCUUUGCCUUCAGGAACUCACCGGUUUGCCUGGAGGGGAAGAGGCAGGAGCUAAAAAUGACAAUUAUUCAGCUCUCAAAUAAUAAUAU
ensembl:lncRNA